AGGGCUUUUGACCCGAUUGAAAAUUUGAUGGGCAUUUUGAAGUAAGCCAGAAGAUAUGUACAAUGACAACAGCUUAACAAGGAGAAAGUUUUUCUGGGUAAAGCCAUUGAUGAUUAUGUGGGUGUGAAUUUCGUUGAGUUUUUUAGGUGAGUUGCAGUUCUGCAAGAGAGAAAAGAGGCAUUGUUGCAUAGCUCUGGAGGUUGUCCGAUACGCGGGACUGGCUUCUUCAAUUAACAUUCAAACAAUAUACAAAUAUUCAAACUGGAAAAGGAAGUGUCUUCUCUUCUUGGAAAAGUGAUGAUGAUCCUUCCCUUCAUACGGGAAGGAGUCUUGAUACUCGUGCUUUGGACAAAAUAUUUUCCACUUGCAUUAUGUUUGUAAGUCUUGAAUAAGAA
rnacentral:lncRNA from 1 species